ensembl:lncRNA
GUUUAUUGGCCCAUAAACGUAAUUCAGGGUGAGGAACUAACUAACAUCAAAUUAAAAAAGUGAAAUUCUCCUUUAAUGGUCUUGGGUUAAUGAGUGAAGUUUUUUGUCAGGCCAGUGAAGUUCGGAAAAAGAAAAGCUGCUCAGCAGGGAAGCCAAUAACUCCUUGGCACCCCUCCUCUCAUUCCUCAGUUUGAUCAUAGGUCUAAAAGACUAUAGACAGAAGACAAUGAAGAGGAAUAUGAAGCACCUGCAAUACUAUCAAUUUCUAUUCUGCUACCUUCUGCUGACUAUCAAAGAUCAUGCACUCUGUGUCAAAGAAAUCACAAUUACUCCGGCUGAACCACAUGUCAAGCUGGGAGAUGCUGUGACCCUAACCUGUGAAACAACCUGUGAAGGCAAACCACAGUGGAAGCAACUAGACGACAGUGAUGCUGAAAUCACUUUCGAUGGGAAAAAAAGUUUUCUAAAGAUUGCAGCUGUACAGCUGGAUCACCAACAAACAUAUACCUGCACUGUGGCCAAAUGUCUUACACGGAAGAAGGAAUCAGUCAAGCUCAUCGUUGACAGUCUUUCCACAGAAGGAGUAGAUGUUGAGGUCAUUAGCAUUACGAAAAAAGAUACCAGAGUUACCCCAGAUCCUUUAAAAACAACAGUUAAGGCUGAUGUACUUCCAGUUCACACCACAGAAAACCCAACAGAGAUGUUGCCAACAACGACAUGGCCCGCUACUAUUAAUGCACUUAAGGAAAAAGGAAUAGAUGUUGAGGUCAGUAGCAUUACAAAAAAGCUACCAGAGGUUGCGUCCACAUCAUUUCUCCCUACCAAAACAAGAGAUCCACAAGUGGAAGAUCCUUCAAAAACAACAAUCAAGACUGAUAUAUUUCCAGUUCACACCACAGAAAAUCUAACAAAAAUGUUGCCAACAACAUUACUGCCCACCACUAUUAAUCAUCUAAAAGACAGUCUUUCCACAGAAGGAAUAGAUGUUGAGGUCAGUAGCAUUACAAAAAAGCUACCAGAGGUUGCGUCCACAUCAUUUCUCCCUGCCAAAACAAGAGAUCCACAAGUGGAAGAUCCUUCAAAAACAACAAUCAAGACUGAUAUAUUUCCAGUUCACACCACAGAAAAUCUAACAAAAAUGUUGCCAACAACAUUACUGCCCACCACUAUUAAUCAUCUAAAAGACAGUCUUUCCACAGAAGGAAUAGAUGUUGAGGUCAGUAGCAUUACAAAAAAGCUACCAGAGGUUGCGUCCACAUCAUUUCUCCCUACCAAAACAAGAGAUCCACAAGUAGAAGAUCCUUCAAAAACAACAAUCAAGGCUGAUAUAUUUCCAGUUCACACUACAGAAAAUAUAACUAAAAUGUUGCCAACAACAUUACUGCCCACCACUAUUAAGCCUCUGAAAGACACAGCAGGGGCAGCUUCCAGCUCCACUAUAAUGGCCAUGGCUGUAGUGGGCUCAGUGGCAACUCUCUCAUUCCUGGGAUUCUUGAUUCACCUGAUCCGCCGGAAGAAACGCAAGUUGUCCCCUAAUGACAUGUAGAACCACCUGGAUGACUGCUGACCAAAAUUGCAUCAGCUUCAUCUCAUUUCAAGCUUUUUUUGUCCAAUAUAUUUAAUGCUAUUAUAACACUCCUUCAUACAGCUUUCCCUGCAUCAGCUUAAACCUAAUAUAAUACACUGAUCAAAAAAAUUUAAGGAACACUUAAAUCAUACAUCGGGUCUCGAUGAACGACAUAUGUUAAAGAUCAUAACCUUUACUGUACAUUGUGUAAUUAUCACGGUCGUAGGUAUGCAUGAUAUGUGGCGCAGAGCGAGUAAAGGGAAACAUCCUUUUAUUAUAACGCAAAAAAUAACAAAAGGAGAGGCAAACCUAACACAAACAAUGAUCCACAAGUGAAAAGUCCAAAAGGGAAACUUAAAUAGGGUCCCCAAUUAGAGGCAACAUGCGGCAGCUGCUGCCUCUCAAUCACCAACCGAUUGAGGGCUGGAUUCAAACUGAAAAUCAAAGUAAACAACUAAAAUCACAGGCUGUUCCAACUUAAUGUGACUCAUAAUGUGACCCAGUAGUGUGUGCCUGUAUGCAAUGCCGACAAUGUCUGGGCGUGCUCCUGAUGAGAUGGCGGAUGGUGUCCUUGGUGAUCUCCUCCCAGACCUGGAUCAGGGCAUCAGUGAACUCCUGGACAGUCUGUGGCACUACUUGAUAGGAUUCAGGUCUGGGAUUCAGGUCUGAGAACGUGAAACCGGUAAUGCUAGAUGAUGUUGUAAGCAACGUUCACCACAGCGUCUCCAGACUCUUUCAUGUCUGUCACGUGCUCAAUUUGAACCUGUGCUCAUCUGGGAAAAGAAUGUAACGCCAAUGGCGGACCUGCCAAUUCUGGUGUUCUCUAGUGAAUGCCAAUCGAACUGCAUGGUGCUGGGCUGUGAGCAUAGGUCCCACUAGAGGACGUCAGACCCUCAAGCCACCCUCAUGGAGUCUGUUUCUGACAAUUUGGUCAGAAAUAUGCACACAUUAGCCUGCUGGAAGUCUGGCUCUGGCAGUGCUCCUCCUGUUCCUCCUCACACAAAGGAGCAGGUACCGGUCCUGCUGCUGGUUUGAUGCUCUUCUAUGGCCCUGUACAGCUCUCCCCGUGUAACGGCUCGUCUCCUGGUAUCUCCUCCAUGUUCUUGAGACUGUACUGUGAGACACAGCAAACCUUCUUGCGACGGCACGUAUGGAUUUGCUAUUCUGGAAGAGCUGGACUGCCUGUGCAACCCGAGUGGGCUGUAGGUACCGCCACAUGCUACCAGUAGUGACAACCACACUAGCAAAAUGCAAAAAUAAAGAAGAAUCAGUCAGGAAGGAUAAGGAGAGAGCAAUUGUCUGUUGCCACCACCUGCAAACCAUUCCCUUUUUGGGGGUUGUCUAGCCGUUGCCUCUCCAGUAAACCUGUUGUCUCUUUCAUUUGCACCAAUGCAGUGACAUUGAUUCACAAUUGAUAUCCCUCAAAUUCACUUGGUGUUAUACUGUGAUGAUUGUGUUCCCUUAAUUUUUUAGCAGUGUAUUUGCUAUGGUACUACCUGAUAAAAUUAAGGACAAUGUACAAAGAAUGACACCCAAGAAGAACAGUCUAAUUUGGAAAAAAAUAUGUAACUAACAUGAAGUUUGAUUAAUAUCAUAUCCAUAUAAAAAGAAAAAUAUAGCAACAUUUUUGAUUUCCUGAGGUUUAUUUUAAAUAGACAUUCCUGUUUAGGUAUUUCUGUUGUGAUGUUAACUUUUUUUAUACAUUUCAUUAUACACCGAUGCAGGAGCGUCACCAGACCUGGGCUUUCAUUUAAUUCUACAUGUUAUAUUUUUAAGUGGAACAUUAUAUCAAAUAGACAUGACUAAAUGGCAUCUGUAGCAACAUUACCAUGAAAAAGCCUAAAUAAGUUAAUAAAGCAUGUGAAUUUAAACACAAACAGUAAUUUCUACUACUACUUGUUUUCUUUUGUUUUUUGCAUACACUGUGGUAUAAGCGGGACAGACCUUUUUCUGUAACAUCACCUUGGCAAAAAUGAACUCCUUCCAUUCCAUUGUCUGAUGCAACUAGAAUCCUGCAGGAAUGUCAUCUGUUGUGAAGGAAUCAUGCAGGUGUCCUGCAGGAAUCCUGAAGGAUUGACCUUGAUGAGAGAUUAUCCUGCAGAAAUCCAGAGAAUAUUGCACAACCCUGAAAAUUCAUGCAGGAAUCAAAAUCCUGCAGACUUCUAAAUUCCUGCAGGAUAUGACGAUCCCUGCAGGAAUAAAAAUUCCUGAAAAUGAAUAUUCUAGCAUGAAUCACACUGUAUAUUUUAAUAAACAAGCUGGAUAUGGCAAUUCCUGCUGGACUAAAACCGUCAGGAUUUAGAUUUUCCUGCAGGACAUGUGAAAAUGUGAAUUCCUGACAAUUUCUGUCAUCUGCUCAUACUAGUCAUGUAAUAUUAAGUAUUUAAUAUCUUGCAGGUGGAUUUCAGUCACACUAAGUAGAAGCAAUAGAUUCUGGGCUAGUAUUUUUUAUUGUCUCACUCAGAAUUUGAAACAAGCACAAGAUACUUUUAGAAAACGUUUUAAAAACAGCCAUGUAACAAUACAUGAUGUAAUAACACCGCAUUAUGUAAUAACUUGACCAAAUGUAAUACAUUUUCAAUUCAUUUUGUAAUAACACCCACAUUUUUACUAAUCUGCUUCAUUUGUAAUAAUCAGCUUGAAAGCAAUUUGUACUAAAUGUCCCCGCAUUUUGUAACAAAUUAUUACAUUAUGUGGUGAUUAUUACAAAAUGUGGGAGUUGGACUUAUAAAAAAUGAAAAUGUAAUUAUAUAGUGCAUUAUGUAAUACCCAGCCAAAUUGGAUGUCUUCAUUCAUGAAAAUCGUAAUAACAUAAACAACAAUGUUUACUUUAUGCAUACUAGCAUGAAUCCUUCAUUUGAAAAGAUACUGCCUAUCACCUGAAGUAUUGUAUCUUUCAUUGAUCAAAACUACAUCAAGUGUCACUGCAUUCCUUAGCUUAAUAGAAACUGUACUUCACAGCAUUGUACUUCAGAGGGUUCAACUGCACAACACUCAAGUGUUAUACUGACACAAACAAAGUAUUGGUAUAAACACAAAUGUCAGCAAAUGUUGGCUAUACAUGAAAAGUCAAAAAAUUGUUGCUCAACAAGACCAAUAUGGAACAGUCCUUUAUUCCCUGAAUCCCCAAUUACGGUAUAUUUAGGCAAAGAAUAUGUACCACACUGCAAAGACGUUCCUAGACGUUCCUAGCACUUAUUUUAACCCCCCCUAAAUAAUUUCACUAUGUGAAGAAAAUGGACGUGAAGCAUGAGAGCAUGUGAAAAGUUUUAAUUCUGCAAGUCUCACGGAGACAAUGCAUGAGAGUUGACGACCCUGAUGAUCACUUGGUACAUUUAUGUAGGACUUUCUAACAGGUCUGGGCCCGGUUUCCCAAAGCAGUAAGUGACUUGUUAUGUUAUCAGUGCGUUUCCCGAAAGCAUCAUUACUUAGUAGGCACAUAAUAUAGUCAUUCAUUAAUGAGUGCUCUGGACCACUCGUUGGUCCAUCGUAACAGGCACUUAACUGUUUUUGUGAAAUAGCGCCUCCCUCAACAUGCGAGGAGUGAUUGCAAACUAUUAAUAUUGUAGCGAACCACAUGGGCUGAAGGCAUAGUGACUGAAUGUGCCCUAUUGAGUUCUAGGUUUAUUGAGUUGUUACGGUAAUCAGAAGGGGG